rnacentral:rRNA from 1 species
GACGAACGCUGGCGGCGUGCCUAAUACAUGCAAGUAGAACGCUGAAGGAGGAGCUUGCUUCUCUGGAUGAGUUGCGAACGGGUGAGUAACGCGUAGGUAACCUGCCUGGUAGCGGGGGAUAACUAUUGGAAACGAUAGCUAAUACCGCAUAAGAGUAGAUGUUGCAUGACAUUUGCUUAAAAGGUGCAAUUGCAUCACUACCAGAUGGACCUGCGUUGUAUUAGCUAGUUGGUGGGGUAACGGCUCACCAAGGCGACGAUGCAUAGCCGACCUGAGAGGGGGAUCGGCCACACUGGGACUGAGACACGGCCCAGACUCCUACGGGAGGCAGCAGUAGGGAAUCUUCGGCAAUGGACGGAAGUCUGACCGAGCAACGCCGCGUGAGUGAAGAAGGUUUUCGGAUCGUAAAGCUCUGUUGUAAGUGAAGAACGAGUGUGAGAGUGGAAAGUUCACACUGUGCCGGUAUCUUACCAGAAAGGGCCGGCUAACUACGU